rfam:Chlamydomonas reinhardtii strain CC-503 cw92 mt+ CHLREscaffold_8 genomic scaffold, whole genome shotgun sequence.
GCGGUCGUGCCCGAGUGGUUAAGGGGACUGACUAGAAAUCAGUUGGGAUCUCCCGCAUAGGUUCGAAUCCUGUCGACCGCG